rnacentral:rRNA from 1 species
GACGAACGCUGGCGGCGUGCUUAACACAUGCAAGUCGAACGGAAAGGCCCUGCUUUUGUGGGGUGCUCGAGUGGCGAACGGGUGAGUAACACGUGAGUAACCUGCCCUUGACUUUGGGAUAACUUCAGGAAACUGGGGCUAAUACCGGAUAGUAGCUCCUGCUGCAUGGUGGGGGUUGGAAAGUUUCGGCGGUUGGGGAUGGACUCGCGGCUUAUCAGCUUGUUGGUGGGGUAGUGGCUUACCAAGGGUUUGACGGGUAGCCGGCCUGAGAGGGUGACCGGCCACAUUGGGACUGAGAGAGGGCCGAGACUCCUACGGGAGGCAGCAGUGGGGAAUAUUGCACAAUGGGCGGAAGCCUGAUGCAGCAACGCCGCGUGCGGGAUGACGGCCUUCGGGUUGUAAACCGCUUUCGCCUGUGACGAAGCGUGAGUGACGGUAAUGGGUAAAGAAGCACCGGCUAACUACGUG